rnacentral:rRNA from 1 species
GCCAGCAGCCAUAUCACCCUGCAACUCACAACUGGCAGCCCACUGAAACUCAGGGGGUGUGGGCCUGGUCAGUACCUGAAUGGGAGACCUCCCGGGAAAAACUAAGGUUGCUGCUGGAA